UACAGAGGUCUCGAGCGUUGUUCGGAUUCAUUGGGCGUAAAGGGUGCGUAGGCGGCGCGGUAAGUCGGGUGUGAAAUCUUGGAGCUUAACUCCGAAACUGCAUUCGAUACUGCUCUGCUAGAGGACUGGAGAGGAGAUUGGAAUUCACGGUGUAGCAGUGAAAUGCGUAGAUAUCGUGAGGAAGACCGGUGGCGAAGGCGGAUCUCUGGACAGUUCCUGACGCUGAGGCACGAAGGUCAGGGGAGCAAACGGG
rnacentral:rRNA from 1 species